CAGUAGCCACGGGAAUACGAAGGGGGCUAGCGUUGCUCGGAAUUACUGGGCGUAAAGGGCGCGUAGGCGGCGCUCCAAGUUAGGCGUGAAAUUCCCGGGCUCAACCUGGGGACUGCGCUUAAGACUGGAGUGCUUGAGGAUGGAAGAGGGUUGUGGAAUUCCCAGUGUAGAGGUGAAAUUCGUAGAUAUUGGGAAGAACACCGGUGGCGAAGGCGGCAACCUGGCCCAUUACUGACGCUGAGGCGCGAUAGCGUGGGGAGCAAACAGGAUUAGAUACCCCUGUAGUCCCUGUCUCUUAUAC
rnacentral:rRNA from 1 species